rnacentral:rRNA from 1 species
CCAGACUCCUACGGGAGGCAGCAGUGAGGAAUAUUGGUCAAUGGGCGGAAGCCUGAACCAGCCAAGUCGCGUGAGGGAAGAAGGCCCUGCGGGUCGCAGACCUCUUUGGACGGGGAGCAAGGCCGCCGACGUGUCGGCGGAAGGAGAGUACCCGUAGAACAAGCAUCGGCUAACUCCGUGCCAGCAGCCGCGGUAAUACGGAGGAUGCGAGCGUUAUCCGGAUUUAUUGGGUUUAAAGGGUGCGCAGGCGGCACGGCAAGCCGGCGGUCAAAUCGCGGGGCUCAACCCCGCCCAGCCGUCGGAACUGCCGGGCUAGAGUGGGCGAGAAGUGCGCGGAAUGCGUGGUGUAGCGGUGAAAUGCAUAGAUAUCACGCAGAACUCCGAUUGCGAAGGCAGCGCACCGGCGCCCUACUGACGCUCAGGCACGAAAGCGUGGGUAUCGAACAGGAUUAGAUACCCCAGUA